AGUGAACGCUGGCGGUAGGCCUAACACAUGCAAGUCGAACGGCAGCACAGUAAGAGCUUGCUCUUACGGGUGGCGAGUGGCGGACGGGUGAGGAAUACAUCGGAAUCUACUUUUUCGUGGGGGAUAACGUAGGGAAACUUACGCUAAUACCGCAUACGACCUACGGGUGAAAGCAGGGGAUCUUCGGACCUUGCGCGAUUGAAUGAGCCGAUGUCGGAUUAGCUAGUUGGCGGGGUAAAGGCCCACCAAGGCGACGAUCCGUAGCUGGUCUGAGAGGAUGAUCAGCCACACUGGAACGGAGCCACGGCCCAGACUCCUACGGGAGGCAGCAGUGGGGAAUAUUGGACAAGGGGCGCAAGCCUGAUCCAGCCAUACCGCGUGGGUGAAGAAGGCAUUCGGGUUGUAAAGCCCUUUUGUUGGGAAAGAAAAGCAGCAGGUUAAUACCCCGCUGUUCUGACGGUACCCAAAGAAUAAGCACCGGCUAACUUCGUG
rnacentral:rRNA from 1 species